AUUUUAUAUUUUGAAAAUGAAUUCACGUGCGUAGAAAAUGUAUUUUAUCCUUUAAAAAUGUAGCUCUUGAAUAAUUUCAGUUUCACUUCUACAAUUCCGUUUUUUGGGACUUACAUCCAGUUCCGGUUCCAGAGUAAUCAAGCGCAGAUUAAUAGAACUCUGUUUUGCCAGUGGACCGAAAGUGUUACUGACGGGAAUCUACAGCAUCUUGAGCUGGAGCUGGAUUAAGAUCUCAGAAGUCAUUCAUCAUGUCGCAUGACCAGUGGAUAAACUCUCAGGCUGGCUAAAGUUGUCAGGUCAUCAAGGCAUCUCCUAAAUCAACCAGCUUGUUCUUUACAUGCCACCGUCAGACAUCAGCAGCAUCGGGUUUCCUGUCUGACAGCAGUGUAGUGGCUGAGGAAGGCCGAGGUUCAUGCUCAGCUGGUGCUCCUCUACGAGACUCUCCAGUUCAAGGGCUGCUGGGAGCACUGGCUUGAUAUCAGGCUGUUCUACAGCAGGACCACUUCCAGGAGACUUCCUCUGAUACUGGGACUGUUGAACAUCCUCAUAAUCACUCCCAUGACAGCAGCUGAAGCUCAGAGGUGUUUCUCCACCUUAAAGAGAAGCAGACGUUCCUGUGAGAUGCAGGACGGGAACGUCUGAACGCCGUUGCCAUGCUUUCAUGGAGAGGAGCUACCUCCUUUCUACCUCCUUACACGUUUACUUUCUCCUCUUCCUUUACUCCUUCAUUGUCUCCUCUGUCCUCCCUUUCUCCUUUUCCACUUCCUGUUCUCUCCUUUCCUCGCUCCCUCUAUGUCACCUCCUCGUGUCCUUUCUUCUCCUUCCUCUCACCUCCUCCUUCAAUCACACUUCCUUCCAUCAGUCCCUUGUCUCCUCCUUCCUUGUCCUUCUCUCCUUCCUCAGAGUCUUCCUCGAUGAGAUAAGCCGAUUUUUCCUGUUUAUUGUGAACAUGAAAUAUUAGAUUUACGUGUUUAUUUCACUGACACUUUUUCAUCUCACAUUUUUAAAUUUUUAGACCAUUUUAAAUAUAGUUUUAAAAUAACAUUUAAUUUCGUGUUUAUUGAAAAUCCCAGCCAGUGAUUUAAUGUUAUUAAACGAAUGUUAAAUACUUGCCUUGUUGGUUUAGUAAAGUUUAUUAUUUGUAUUUCUAUAAAAAACAAAUUUUUCUUCACUUAAAAAAAAACUUUUAAAAUGUGUAAAAAUAGAAUGAAGCCUGUGAAAACGUCUCCAUGUCAGACUGUGAAGACACCGUCCACGCCGUCGCUGGGCGGAGCCUGGUCUCGUGGUCCUGCAUGGAAACCGAGGCGUCCGUCAGAGAGAUGAAGCUACAGCCUUUAACACAACAAAUGUGCAUCGUAGUAUAGUUUUGGAUUUGGACUGCUACACUCAGAUACUAACAGACAGAAACAAAGAGAAGCUGUCUUCUCUGAAGAUGGUCUGCCUGGACUGGUGAUGACACCAGAACGUCCAAACCUUUGAGACUGACUCUCCCAGAGAAAAACAGGGAUAUAAAUUCUGCUGUUAGGACACGCCCCCUUCUCUAACUCUACAGGCCUGGCCAGAGGACCAGAGACGGUUGCCAUGGUGAUGUGAGAAGCGACGUGUCCAUGUAGGGAGAUGUGGGAAAGGUGCAGGAGAUGAAACGUGAGCCGUACAUGGGUCUAAAGGCUUUCCUCCUGCUGCUGAGCGAUCACGUUAACAUUCAGUUUU